AUAUCAAUAAGCGGAGGAAAAGAAACUAACAAGGAUUCCCUCAGUAACGGCGAGUGAAGAGGGAAGAGCUCAGUUUUGAAAUCUGGCAGUCAUUCACUGUCCGAGUUGUAAAUUGAAGAGAUUGUCAUCCACACUGGACCAUGUCUAAAUUGUAAUGAUCCACAGUCCUUUGAUGGAGUAUCAGAGAGGGUAAUAAUCCCGUCUUUAACGUGGACUCCCAGUGUUUAUGUGAUGCAUUCUCUCAGAGUCGAGUAGUUUGGGAAUGCUGCUCUAAUGGGAGGUAAACUCCUUCUAAAGCUAAAUAUUGGCGAGAGACCGAUAGCGAACAAGUACCGUGAGGGAAAGAUGAAAAGAACUCUGAAAAGAGAGUCAAACAGAACGUGAAAUUGCUGAAAGGGAAGCGUUUGGAGUCAGAUGCGUCUUCAUGGAAUAACGGCUUCUGCAAAGAAGGUCAGUGACUUGAAGAUGGGCCAGCACUCACGUAGACCAUUGGAAAAGGGGUCAUUGGAAUGUAGCUCACUUGUUGAGUGAUUAUAGCCUUGAUUCAUAUACAAUGUGUGUGUUAUGUGAGAUAGACAGCACGACUCACUCAGUCAGUGCUUGCUUGAUUGGCAUAAUGGCUCUAAGCGACCCGUCUUGAAACACGGACCAAGGAGUCUAACAUGUAUGCGAGUAUUAGAGUGAUUGAAACUCUGAAUGCGCAAUGAAAGUGGUCUUUGACUGAGAAUCCUCAGUUAGGGGAGGCAUCAGUACCCCGAGUCUGCUAGUCUUUGACUAAAGAUUUGGAGGUAGAGCAUAUAUGUUGGGACCCGAAAGAUGGUGAACUAUGCCUGAAUAGGGUGAAGUCAGAGGAAACUCUGAUGGAGGCCCGUAGCGAUUCUGACGUGCAAAUCGAUCGUAGAAUUUGGGUAUAGGGGCGAAAGACUAAUCGAACCAUCUAGUAGCUGGUUCCUGCCGAAGUUUCCCUCAGGAUAGCAGAGACUGAAAGACUCAGUUGCAUGGGGUAAAGCGAAUGAUUAGGGAUCUUGGGGGUGGAAUACCCUCAAUCCAUUCUCAAACUGUGAAUCUGUGCGGGUACAGGAUGCCUUACUUUGAUUGAAGGACCUGUAGAAUGUCAGUCUCUAGUGGGCCACGUUUUGGUAAGCAGAACUGGCGAUGCGGGAUGAACCGAACGUGAGGUUAAAGUGCCUGAAUACACGCUCAUCAGAGACCAUGAAAGGUGUGAGUCCAUCUAGACAGCAGGACGGUGGCCAUGGAAGUUGGAAUCCGCUAAGGAGUGUGUAACAACUCACCUGCCAAAUGGACUUGCCCUGAAAAUGGAUGGCGCUCAAGCGUGUUACUCAUACCUCACCGUCAAUCAUUUGAUGGAUUGACGAGUAGGCAGGCGUGAAGGUCCAUCAUCGAAGCUU
rnacentral:rRNA from 1 species